rnacentral:rRNA from 1 species
UACGUAGGGGGCAAGCGUUGUCCGGAUUUAUUGGGCGUAAAGAGCGUGUAGGCGGCCAGGUAGGUCUGCUGUGAAAACUCGAGGCUCAACCUCGAGAUGUCAUCGGAAACCAUCUGGCUAGAGUCCGGAAGAGGAGAGUGGAAUUCCUGGUGUAGCGGUGAAAUGCGCAGAUAUCGGGAAGAACACCCGUGGCGAAGGCGGUUCUCUGGGACGGUACUGGACGCUGAGGCGCGAAAGCUAGGGGAGCAAACGGG